rnacentral:tRNA from 1 species
GGGCCGUUAACUCAGUGGAAGAGUGCUAUCCUCACACGGUAGAGGUCACUGGUUCGAAUCCAGUACGGCCCACCA